ACCCGCUGAACUUAAGCAUAUCAAUAAGCGGAGGAAAAGAAACCAACAGGGAUUGCCUCAGUAACGGCGAGUGAAGCGGCAAAAGCUCAAAUUUGAAAUCUGGCGUCUUUGGCGUCCGAGUUGUAAUUUGCAGAGGGCGCUUUGGCAUUGGCAGCGGUCCAAGUUCCUUGGAACAGGACGUCACAGAGGGUGAGAAUCCCGUACGUGGUCGCUAGCCUUUACCGUGUAAAGCCCCUUCGACGAGUCGAGUUGUUUGGGAAUGCAGCUCUAAAUGGGAGGUAAAUUUCUUCUAAAGCUAAAUACUGGCCAGAGACCGAUAGCGCACAAGUAGAGUGAUCGAAAGAUGAAAAGCACUUUGGAAAGAGAGUUAAAAAGCACGUGAAAUUGUUGAAAGGGAAGCGCUUGCAGCCAGACUUGCCUGUAGUUGCUCAUCCGGGUUUUUACCCGGUGCACUCUUCUAUAGGCAGGCCAGCAUCAGUUUGGGCGGUUGGAUAAAGGUCUCUGUCAUGUACCUCUCUUCGGGGAGAACUUAUAGGGGAGACGACAUGCAACCAGCCCGGACUGAGGUCCGCGCAUCUGCUAGGAUGCUGGCGUAAUGGCUGU
rnacentral:rRNA from 1 species